GUGCUUGCUUCAGCAGUACAUAUACUAAAAUCAGAACUAUACGGAGAUUAUCAUGGCACCGGCACAAAGAUGACACACAAAUUUUUGAAUUGUUCCAUAUUUUG